rnacentral:lncRNA from 1 species
CCAUUAGUGAUUUUGAUUAGAAUUACUGAAUAAAGUGAAUUAUUUGCUGGUUAAAGUCUAACAUCCGUGCCAUUUUCAAAGAUUUUUCCCAGUUCCUUGAAUUUGCUGAAAAAGGGCCUUGAAAGUCCAGGAAAAGUCCUUGAAUUUCACCUUCACCAAAGGGUGUCUUCUGCAUCAUAACGCUUAAUGAAACACAGUAACAGAACAGUGGCGUAGCCAGAACGAUAAUUGGGG